CCCGGUCCCAUGCCGAACCCGGCCGUUAAGCCCUCCAGCGUCGAUGGUACUGCGGUCCUAACCGUGGGAGAGUAGAUCGCCGCCGGAA
rnacentral:rRNA from 2 species